GACGAACGCUGGCGGCGUGCUUAACACAUGCCAGUCGAACGGUGAAGCGCCUUCCUUUUUGGUGGGUGUGGAUGAGUGGCGAACGGGUGAGUAACACGUGAGUAACCUGCCCCAUUCUUCUGGAUAACCGCAUGAAAGUGUGGCUAAUACGGGAUAUUCUGGGUCUGUCGCAUGAUGGGUCUGUGAAAGAUAUUGUUUCGGUGGGGGAUGGGCUCGCGGCCUAUCAGCUUGUUGGUGGGGUGAUGGCCUACCAAGGCGGUGACGGGUAGCCGGCCUGUGAGGAGAUACAGUGAUAGAUCGAGGGAGACCCGGCCCGGACGGCUACGAGAGGCAGCGGGGCGAGGUAUCAGAGAAUGGGCGCUAGAGUGAUGCAGCGCCGCCCCGUUGGAGCUGGAGGGCGUCGGGUGGUGAAGGUCUAUCGUCAGUGAAGCAGGACUGGCUCAUUUGGGAGGAGGUUGAGGAGAGCUGAACAAGAAGGGCCGGCUAACUACGUG
rnacentral:rRNA from 1 species